rnacentral:ncRNA from 1 species
GUAGCCAAGCCGGGAAGGGAUAAACGCUGAAGGCAUCUAAGCGUGAAGCCCCCCUCAAGAUGAGAUAUCCCAUAACGUCAAGUUAGUAAGACCCCUUGAAGACGACGAGGUAGAUAGGGCAGAGGUGGAAGUGCGGUAACGCAUGGAGCUGACUGUUACUAAUCGGUCGAGGGCAUAACCAA